rnacentral:rRNA from 1 species
UGGGGAAUUUUGGACAAUGGGCGAAAGCCUGAUCCAGCAAUGCCGCGUGUGUGAAGAAGGCCUUCGGGUUGUAAAGCACUUUUGUCCGGAAAGAAAUCCUUGGCUCUAAUACAGUCGGGGGAUGACGGUACCGGAAGAAUAAGCACCGGCUAACUACGUGCCAGCAGCCGCGGUAAUACGUAGGGUGCAAGCGUUAAUCGGAAUUACUGGGCGUAAAGCGUGCGCAGGCGGUUUGCUAAGACCGAUGUGAAAUCCCCGGGCUCAACCUGGGAACUGCAUUGGUGACUGGCAGGCUAGAGUAUGGCAGAGGGGGGUAGAAUUCCACGUGUAGCAGUGAAAUGCGUAGAAAUGUGGAGGAAUACCGAUGGCGAAGGCAGCCCCCUGGGCCAAUACUGACGCUCAUGCACGAAAGCGUGGGGAGCAAACAGGAUUAGAUACCCUGGUAGUCCACGCCCUAAAACGAUGUCAACUAGUUGUUGGGGAUUCAUUUCCUUAGUAACGUAGCUAACGCGUGAAGUUGACCGCCUGGGGAGUACGGUCGCAAGAUUAAAACUCAAAGGAAUUGACGGGGUCAUAGCUGUUUCCU